rnacentral:rRNA from 1 species
GAUGAACGCUGACAGAAUGCUUAACACAUGCAAGUCAACUUGAACUUCGGUUUGGGUGGCGGACGGGUGAGUAACGCGUAAAGAACUUGCCUCACAGAUAGGGACAACAUUUGGAAACGAAUGCUAAUACCUGAUAUUAUGAUUAUAUGGCAUCGUAUAAUUAUGAAAGCUAUAUGCGCUGUGAGAGAGCUUUGCGUCCCAUUAGCUAGUUGGAGAGGUAACGGCUCACCAAGGCGAUGAUGGGUAGCCGGCCUGAGAGGGUGAUCGGCCACAAGGGGACUGAGACACGGCCCUUACUCCUACGGGAGGCAACAGUGGGGAAUAUUGGACAAUGGACUAAGAGUCUGAUCCAGCAAUUCUGUGUGCACGAUGAAGUUUUUCGGAAUGUAAAGUGCUUUCAGUUGGGAAGAAAAAAAUGACGGUACCAACAGAAGAAGUGACGGCUAAAUACGUG